rnacentral:rRNA from 1 species
GGAACGCCGACUGGUAGGUAGCAAUACUUGCCAGAAGGAGUCGCGUAAGGGUGCGUAACACGUGGGCAAUCUGCCCUGAAGUUCGGAACAACUUGCCGAAAGGUGAGCUAAUACCGGAUGUGAUCAUUGGCUGGCAUCUGCGAAUGAUCAAAGCUGGGGAUCUUCGGACCUGGCGCUUUAGGAUGAGCCCGCGGCCUAUCAGCUAGUUGGUGAGGUAACGGCCCACCAAGGCUAAGACGGGUAGCUGGUCUGAGAGGACGACCAGCCACACUGGAACUGAGACACGGUCCAGACACCUACGGGUGGCAGCAGUCGAGAAUCUUUCACAAUGGGCGAAAGCCUGAUGGAGCGACGCCGCGUGGGGGAUGAAGGGCUUCGGCUCGUAAACCCCUGUCAUCUGGGAGCAAACCUGUUUUGCUAAUACCAAGACAGUUGAUAGUACCAGAAGAGGAAGGGACGGCUAACUCUGUGCCAGCAGCCGCGGUAAUACAGAGGUCCCAAGCGUUGUUCGGAUUCACUGGGCGUAAAGGGUGCGUAGGCGGUCGGCUAAGUCUGAUGUGAAAUCUCCGGGCUCAACCCGGAAACUGCAUCGGAAACUAGUUGCUUAGAGGAUUGGAGGGGGGACUGGAAUUCUCGGUGUAGCAGUGAAAUGCGUAGAUAUCGAGAGGAACACCAGUGGCGAAGGCGAGUCCCUGGACAAUUCCUGACGCUGAGGCACGAAAGCUAGGGGAGCAAACAGGAUUAGAUACCCUGGUAGUCCUAGCCGUAAAUGGUGCACGCUUGCUGUGGGCGGAAUCGACC